rnacentral:rRNA from 1 species
GAAGCUGGAAUUGCUAGUAAUGGCAGGUCAGCAUACUGCCGUGAAUACGUUCCCGGGCCUUGUACACACCGCCCGUCACACCAUGAGAGUUGGGAAUACCCGAAGCCUGUGAGCUAACGUAAGAGGCAGCAGUCGAAGGUAGAAUCAAUGAUUGGGGUGAAGUCGUAACAAGGUAUC